AGUGAACGCUGGCGGCAGGCCUAAUACAUGCAAGUCGAACGGCAGCACAGCUUAAGCUUGCUUAAGUGGGUGGCGAGUGGCGGACGGGUGAGGAAUACGUGGGAAUCUGCCCAGUCGUGGGGGAUAACGUAGGGAAACUUACGCUAAUACCGCAUGCGCCCUUUGGGGGAAAGCCGGGGAUCUUCGGACCUGGCGCGAUUGGAUGAGCCCACGUCGGAUUAGCUAGUUGGAGGGGUAAAGGCCCACCAAGGCGACGAUCCGUAGCUGGUCUGAGAGGAUGAUCAGCCACACUGGAACUGAGACACGGUCCAGACGCCUACGGGAGGCAGCAGUAGGGAAUAUUGGACAAUGGGCGCAAGCCUGAUCCAGCCAUGCCGCGUGAGUGAAGAAGGCCCUCGGGUUGUAAAGCUCUUUUGUUGGGGAAGAAAAGCCUUGGGUUAAUACCCUGAGGUUCUGACGGUACCCAAAGAAUAAGCACCGGCUAACUUCGUGCCAGCCGCCGCCGUAA
rnacentral:rRNA from 1 species